rnacentral:rRNA from 1 species
AUUGAACGCUGGCGGCAGGCUUAACACAUGCAAGUCGAGCGGGGAAAGGUAGCUUGCUACCUAACCUAGCGGCGGACGGGUGAGUAAUGCUUAGGAAUCUGCCUAUUAGUGGGGGACAACAUCUCGAAAGGGAUGCUAAUACCGCAUACGUCCUACGGGAGAAAGCAGGGGACCUUCGGGCCUUGCGCUAAUAGAUGAGCCUAAGUCGGAUUAGCUAGUUGGUGGGGUAAAGGCCUACCAAGGCGACGAUCUGUAGCGGGUCUGAGAGGAUGAUCCGCCACACUGGGACUGAGACACGGCCCAGACUCCUACGGGAGGCAGCAGUGGGGAAUAUUGGACAAUGGGGGGAACCCUGAUCCAGCCAUGCCGCGUGUGGGAAGAAGGCCUUUUGGUUGUAAAGCACGUUAAGCGAGGAGGAGGCUACCGAGAUUAAUACUCUUGGAUAGUGGACGUUACUCGCAGAAUAAGCACCGGCUAACUCUGUG